rnacentral:rRNA from 1 species
GGUCCUAAUACAUGCAAGUCGAGCGGACAGAAGGGAGCUUGCUCCCGGAUGUUAGCGGCGGACGGGUGAGUAACACGUGGGUAACCUGCCUGUAAGACUGGGAUAACUCCGGGAAACCGGAGCUAAUACCGGAUAGUUCCUUGAACCGCAUGGUUCAAGGAUGAAAGACGGUUUCGGCUGUCACUUACAGAUGGACCCGCGGCGCAUUAGCUAGUUGGUGAGGUAACGGCUCACCAAGGCGACGAUGCGUAGCCGACCUGAGAGGGUGAUCGGCCACACUGGGACUGAGACACGGCCCAGACUCCUACGGGAGGCAGCAGUAGGGAAUCUUCCGCAAUGGACGAAAGUCUGACGGAGCAACGCCGCGUGAGUGAUGAAGGUUUUCGGAUCGUAAAGCUCUGUUGUUAGGGAAGAACAAGUGCAAGAGUAACUGCUUGCACCUUGACGGUACCUAACCAGAAAGCCACGGCUAACUACGUGCCAGCAGCCGCGGUAAUACGUAGGUGGCAAGCGUUGUCCGGAAUUAUUGGGCGUAAAGGGCUCGCAGGCGGUUUCUUAAGUCUGAUGUGAAAGCCCCCGGCUCAACCGGGGAGGGUCAUUGGAAACUGGGAAACUUGAGUGCAGAAGAGGAGAGUGGAAUUCCACGUGUAGCGGUGAAAUGCGUAGAGAUGUGGAGAAACACCAGUGGCGAAGGCGACUCUCUGGUCUGUAACUGACGCUGAGGAGCGAAAGCGUGGGGAGCGAACAGGAUUAGAUACCCUGGUAGUCCACGCCGUAAACGAUGAGUGCUAAGUGUUAGGGGGUUUCCGCCCCUUAGUGCUGCAGCUAACGCAUUAAGCACUCCGCCUGGGGAGUACGGUCGCAAGACUGAAACUCAAAGGAAUUGACGGGGGCCCGCACAAGCGGUGGAGCAUGUGGUUUAAUUCGAAGCAACGCGAAGAAACUUACCAGGUCUUGACAUCCUCUGACAACCCUAGAGAUAGGGCUUUCCCUUCGGGGACAGAGUGACAGGGGUGCAUGGUUGUCGUCAGCUCGUGUCGUGAGAUGUUGGGUUAAGUCCCGCAACGAGCGCAACCCUUUAUCUUAGUUGCCAUCUUUAGUUGGGCACUCUAAGGUGACUGCCGGUGACAAACCGGAGGAGGUGGGGAUGACGUCAAAUCAUCAUGCCCUUUUUGCCUUGGNCCUCCCCGCUCCCCAAUGGAAAAGAAAAAAAGGU